AGAGUUUGAUCCUGGCUCAGGAUGAACGCUAGCGACAGGCUUAACACAUGCAAGUCGAGGGGCAGCACAGGUAGCAAUACCGGGUGGCGACCGGCGCACGGGUGAGUAACGCGUAUGCAACUUACCUAUCAGAGGGGGAUAGCCCGGCGAAAGUCGGAUUAAUACCCCAUGAAACAGGGGUCCCGCAUGGGAAUAUUUGUUAAAGAUUCAUCGCUGAUAGAUAGGCAUGCGUUCCAUUAGGCAGUUGGCGGGGUAACGGCCCACCAAACCGACGAUGGAUAGGGGUUCUGAGAGGAAGGUCCCCCACAUUGGUACUGAGACACGGACCAAACUCCUACGGGAGGCAGCAGUGAGGAAUAUUGGUCAAUGGCCGAGAGGCUGAACCAGCCAAGUCGCGUGAAGGAAGAAGGAUCUAUGGUUUGUAAACUUCUUUUAUAGGGGAAUAAAGUGGAGGACGUGUCCUUUUUUGUAUGUACCCUAUGAAUAAGCAUCGGCUAACUCCGUGCCAGCAGCCGCGGUAAUACGGAGGAUGCGAGCGUUAUCCGGAUUUAUUGGGUUUAAAGGGUGCGUAGGUGGUGAUUUAAGUCAGCGGUGAAAGUUUGUGGCUCAACCAUAAAAUUGCCGUUGAAACUGGGUUACUUGAGUGUGUUUGAGGUAGGCGGAAUGCGUGGUGUAGCGGUGAAAUGCAUAGAUAUCACGCAGAACUCCGAUUGCGAAGGCAGCUUACUAAACCAUAACUGACACUGAAGCACGAAAGCGUGGGGAUCAAACAGGAUUAGAUACCCUGGUAGUCCACGCAGUAAACGAUGAUUACUAGGAGUUUGCGAUACAAUGUAAGCUCUACAGCGAAAGCGUUAAGUAAUCCACCUGGGGAGUACGCCGGCAACGGUGAAACUCAAAGGAAUUGACGGGGGCCCGCACAAGCGGAGGAACAUGUGGUUUAA
rnacentral:rRNA from 1 species